rnacentral:lncRNA from 1 species
CCUUGCAAUGAAAUCCUUGAGACAAGCGAAACCAGGGUAGGGAUGUGGGAAACAGCCUCAGUCUUAAGCAAGAAAGAAAAUGAUUAAUCUUCACCGAGAAAUUCACAGUGCUACUCCUUCACAGGAUGAAGAAUUGACAGGAACGCGUAAUACAACUUUCCAGUAACUGUCAAGUGUCCGUAGUGUGACCGUGCCGGUUGAGGCUUUGAAAGGCAGCGAGCUGUGAUCCUGCUCCAUGCAGCUGUCUGGACAGCUUCCAGUGUGAGGGCUCUGUGUUCACUUCCCCUGCUGCACUGACUUAAUUCCAGACCUGGGGCAAGUCUCCUGAGCUCUGCGGUUGUCUCCUUGUCUGUUAAAGGUAAGGUGUCUAAAAGCCAUCACCCACAGAUUUGAGGUGGCUGUUGGGAAAAUUACCAAGCAGGCUUCUUUCCUCUGCCUACUGCCUGCUCUGCAGGACCGAUCCGACUGUCCAGCUUUCCUGGAUAUCUGCCUCCAAAACAAAUCUGGUACCAAAACAAAGGUGGCGUUAGUCAACACAAAGGGCUCAGGCACCUGUCUAUUCCUGAGUAUUAUUCUCAGGCAAAGCAAUGCCAGGAAAGGCCAAGGGAGGCCUAAAGCAUGGGAGAAGGAUAGAAAGAAAAAGACAGGAAGGAAGAAGAAAGAGACAGAAGAGAAAGGGACUCGGCAAGCAGAGCAGGGAAACAGGACAGAGAGAAUGCAGAAUGAGCCGGAGAGCCAGGGUUAUUGAUCAGGGCCCGGGUCUACCUGUGGUCUACCCAGCCAGCUCCUGAACCAGCUGUUGCAGGCUUACAUGUGAAGACAGGGAAAGGGUGUUACUUCCAUCUUACAGAAGGAGGGGUCGGACUGUAAGUCUAGCCCUUGAAGAGCAGCUUGUGCAAGCCAGGUAGGCUGGGGAAGGACGGGGUGGCCAGGUGGGGCCAGGACUGGAGGGGACGUGUGUCCGGGACAGAAUAGUGAGUGCAGAAAAGAGGCAGAAGUCCAAGAUGGGGUACUGUUAGUUCAGAAGAGGAAGGUGAGCAAGGCUGUCGAAUCCAGCAGCUCAGGCUGAGACCGGAGUCUGAAGGAUUUAGGCCAACACUGGAGGGCAGGAUGCAUACCAAAUUAGAGGAGGCGAGCUGGGGUUAGUCACAUAGAAUCUGGACUGGGAGGAACAUACUCACAAAGGUGGGGUCAUGAUCCAGACUGGCCUGAGGAAGUAGAGGGAUGGAAAACUGACUGUAGGUGGAGAAGUCUGGAACUGCCCAGCUGCUCGGGCAUAAGGGGGCAGAUCUUCACAAGAACGUUGCUCUGUUUCCACCAUGCAUCCAACAACUGGGCACAUGCACCCUCUGUCCCUGGCUUUAGGUCCUAAUGGAGAGGAGAUUCCACAGAUAGCAAGGCCUGGGGUGGCAUACAGGUGAAUGCCUGGGCCCUUUGUUACGGCAUCAUCAUUGCAAACCUCCUCUCUUGCUGAUCCACCCCACCUGGGGCCAAAAUGAGGGUGAGCAAUCGUUUGACGACUUUGCUCCUGAGUGCUUAAUCACCUUUGCCCUUCUCCCCCACCCCUACGAUCAACAGAGUGUGGAGAAGAGAGUGAGGGUCAUGCAAAAAGUCUGGAGUGACAGCCUACCUCUGCCGUUUUCCAGUUUUGUGGAUCAGGGAAGUCAUCACAUUCCUGGGACUCUGGUUCCUCCUCUCUAAAGUGUGGGACAGGAUUGGACCAGUGGGUCUUAAGUUUUGAGACUCUUGUGAUGGUAUGGAUUCUCUCCCUGCCCAGAGAAUGUGUAUGUACGCAAGCACACACAUUUUUCACUCACUUUCAGGGUUUCAUGGACUCCCUGAAGCCCAUUAGUGGAUUCUCUUCCACAUUUCUCCGGAUGAAUCCUGUCUGGAGACCAUUUGCAUCACAGAUGCAGAUACCUGGUCCACCCUCAACAGAAUAAACAGGAAUUUCUAGGGAUGAGGCCCAGUCAUCUGAAGUUUUUACAAGUACUCCAAAUGAGUCUUAUGUUAGCUCAGGUUGGGGAUCACUGGUCCACAGGCCGGGUAAAUACCGUUUGUAUUACAUGUUCCCUGAGGCCACUGUCACCUCCACUGGCUCCACAGCUCUAGACAGACAUACAGCAUAUGCAUGAAUGGUGGGGGGACAAAGUGCCACUCGAUGUAGGCCACUUUCAGGCUUCACUUGUAAUAUGGAGUCUGUCCACCUUGCCCACACUCCUGUCAUUCUGCAUGGUACCCUCUGCUUCUGCCCCUCAUCUGGGAACCUAAAUCAGGGUCUUUUCUGGUUUGGGCUCCUCGUUUAAUAAUCAGAUAUGCUUUUCUGGACAAUUGUUUAACUACUUGGUUCUGGUCCUAGCCAGACUCUGUCCCACAGAUGACCCUGGCCUUUUUCUCCUGGCUGUGAACUCUCAGUUUCCUAUACAGAGCUGCCAUCUCCAUGGGCACGUUCUGGGUUUCAUCCCACUCUCCAAAUCCCCCCCCCCGGGCCCUCCCCCCAACCCCCCUCCCUCCCGGGCCUCCCUGUCCUCCUUGCUCUAAGCAUUGCCUUCUGGAGCUUCCUGCUGAAGGAUUCUGCUUACACAUCCCCUCAAAGAGGCCCUCUCCAAAGACCCCAUCUAAUGACAUUAUGCACCCUCCCCCAGUUACUUUUCAUCACAUCGUGCUGCUCUGUUAUCAUCCAAGAAUUUAUCAUCCCUGAAGUUAACCUAUGUAUUCACUAGUUUCCUUUUCUGUUGUCUGUGCAGAACCCUUUCUGCCUCACCCGCCGUUGUUUCCCAGGGCUUGGAACAAUGCCUGGUGUGUGGUAGGUACUCAGUAAAUAUUUGCUGAAAAAUUGAAUAAAUACGUGAAUCAAUGUCUUUAAAAAAAUUUUUUUUAAUGUUUAUUUAUUUUUGAGAGAGAGAGACAGAGACAGAAUAUGAGCAGGGUAGGGGCACACACACACACACACACACACACACACACAGAGAGAGAGAAUCUGAAGCAGGCUCCAGGCUCCGAGCUGUCAGCACAGAGCCCAACGUGGGGCUCGAACUCACAAACCACGAGAUCAUGACCUAAGCCAAAGUCAGAAGCUUAACUGACUGAGGUGGCAUUAACCAUUCUGUACCUCAGUUUCUAUCAUUCUUUGUUCACCAAUAUUUAUUGAGCUCCUACUGUGUCUUCUAAGUUUUGGGUAUACAGCAGGAAACAAAAGAAACAAAAAUCUCUGCCCUAAGGAGAGUCUGUUCUAUCAGAAAAUGAGAGACACAUACAAAAUCAUAUUAAAUAAAUAUAAUACCUUGUUCACUAGGUGGUGAUAAGUACAGGAAAGGGGAAUAGACGAGGGAGGGAGACGGCCUCCUGAGACAGGAUAAUAAUAGAACCUACAUCACAGAGUUGUGAUGUAUAAAGUGAGUCAAUGUUUGCAAAGCAUGAAGCACCUGGCAUUUAGUAAUAACUCAAUAAAUGUUACUUGUUAUUGCUAUUUUCAUCAGCCCCCUGUCCCAGGCAAGAUGUCUCUACUCCCUUUAUGAUAUAUCUACUUCUCUAGGAUUCCAUUACUCCAUUAUGUACUGGAUCCCUUUAUUAUCAUUUGUGACUAAUUUUUAGACACUGGAGCUCCCACAGUUAUAUUAAAAGUUCACUUUUGGGGUGCUUGGGUGGCUCAGUUGGUUAGGCAACCAACUCUUGAUUUCAGCUCAGGUCAUUAUCUCACAGUUUGUGAGUUCGAGCCCCACGUCGGGCCCUGCUCUUCCAGCGCAGAGACUGCUUGGGAUUCUCUCUCCCUCUCUCUAUGCCCCUCCCCGGCUCAUGCUUUCUCUCUCAAAAUAAAUAAAUAAACGUUAAAAGAAAAGGUCACUUCUAUCUCCAUCAUUCUCUCUAGAAUUAGCCCCAAUGCACCAACACCUUUGAAAAGAGUGUUCUUUACUUCAUCCUAGGACUGCAGGCCUCUGAGCUCUGGACAGUGGUUGUCAACCCCGUGUUUUGGGCCUGCUGCCCCACUGCCAGAAAGGCCCUGAUCUUCCUUCUCACAGUAGCCCACCCCACCCAGCUUUGUUCCCUUGGCUGAACUCAUCACUUUUUCCAUGACACUUUCUACCACACCCCUGCCGGCCUCCUAGACCUGCUGGUCACUCCCACAUCGUCCUUGGACACACCCCCAUUCGGCACCAAUCAGAUCACUAUAUACUAGUGAGCAUUCUCAUCAGCCUCCCCGGCUCGGCAGAGGUCCCAGAGAGCAGGUUAUCUUUCCUUUGAGGAUACAACAGCAGGCACAGUCGCAGGCAUUUCGCUAGCUCUCAAUAAGUACUUGCUAAAUUUUGUUCAAAUAAAUAGGGGAGCUGAAUACGUUCAGUUCUAAGGUUAUUUGCUUUUAAGCAAAGCCAAAAUGUCUUAUGGAAAGCUGGGCACAAUAGGCACUUAUUACAUUUACAUUUUUAAAUGUUCAGUUUUACCUGUCAUUUAUAACAGCAGCUGGUAUGGCUCCUUAUGGUUAGCUCUCCUAACCAUUUGAUGUGCAGAAUGUGGCUUCAAGAAUAAUUCCAGGGGAAACUCCUUUUGAUAAUAUCGUAGUUUUAAAUGUUGGAAGAAGCCUCAGUAGAGUGAAUGGUUCAGCUCUCACCCCUUUACAGAAUCUUUAUGGCCACUUUAUAGUUAAGUUCACAAGCGUUAAAAACUCUUCCCAGUAUCAUCUAGCUAGUGGGCAGUGGAAAUCAGUUUCCUUUAAGAACUAAUGUCAAUAGUCUAUGAUUCUAUAUGGUUGUGGGAUUCUAAGAGGAAGAUUUAAACCCAGAUCUCCUGCCUCCUGGUUGCUUUUUUCCAAAUGUGCUUUGCCCUUCCUUAUUGGGAAAACGCUAGUUUCUCACUCAUUUGGACAUGAAAAAUAUAAUGAUCCAUACAUAGUAACCAUACCUGUUAGAGCUUUUUUUUUUUUUUUUUUAUUAUAGCUGGCUCUUGGACAACACAGGACUUGGGGUGCUGACACCCCAUACAAUUGAAAAUUCACAUAUAACUUUUAACUCUCUAAAAUACUAAUAGCCACUGUUGAGCACUAGCUUACUAAUAACAUAAAUAGUCAAUUAAUACAUAUUUUGUGUUAUAUGUAUUAUAUGCUGUAUUUUUAUAAUAAAGUAAGCUUGGAGGAAGAAAAUGUUAUUAAGAAAAUCGUAAGGAAGAGAAAAUACAUUUGCAAUAUUGUACUAUAUUUAUCAAAAGAAAAUUCAAGUAUAAGUGAAUCCAUGGAGUUGAAACCCAUGGCUGUUCAAGGGUCGACUAUAUAAGUAGCAGAAGCCAGUUCUAGCUGCCCUAACCAAAGGGACAUUAAUUAUGAACUAAAAAGUAAGAAUGCAGAUGGACAGGGGGAACCAAACUCCAUAGGAAAUCCAGAAUGUCUUUACUUUCCAUCUUGGCCUCUUUUUGACUCUUCUGUCUGUAACUUCAUUCUUCUUAAUGCAGACUCAUUUGUCUCUUUCACAGUCCACACAAAAGAAUAUGGCUACUGGCAGUUACCAAGUUUACAUUUUUCUCUGUUCAAGAGACUCAUCAACCUCAGAUUCUGAAGGAAGGGAGUUACACUGGACAAGGAUGCGCUCACAUACGUGGGGACUGAAUAAACAUGGCUGCUGGGAGCCAUCUCUGCACCCAUGUAGAUGGAGGAACAGGCAUUCUAAAGGAAACAUGAGCAUAGGACCAGGCAGAGAGGCUGGGAGCUGUGCUUUAUUUGAAACUAUAAUCAGGACAUACAACUGCAGGAAAAGAAAGGUGGAGAGAAGGAGCAGUGUUAAGUCAUCUUAGCUACAAUCUCCUGGCUCUCUCCUCACUUUAGACUGUGGCUAAUUUUAUUCUUGGGUUAAAAAUAAGCUUCUUGGGACGCCUGGGUGGCUCAAUCCAUUAAGCGUCCAACUCUUUGGUUUCCACUCAGAUCACGAUCUCACAGUUCAUGGGUUCGAGCCCCACAUGGGGCUCUGCACUGACACAGCAGGGCCUACCUGGGAUUCUUUCUCUCCCUCUCUCUCUCUGCCCCUCCCCACUUGCACAUGUAGGCAUGCACACACACUCCCACUCUCUCAAAAAAAAUAAUAAAAUAAAAUAAAUAUGCUUCUUGGCCCAAGAUUAAACCAGAGUUCACCUUCACCUGCAUUGCCCUUUCCUUCCGUGCUCCCAUCCCCAUCUGGUAGUUGUAGUUCAGCAUCUCACAGUGGCCAUUUACCCCCUCAUCAAGCCAGGGAAUCUCCUAGGUCUCAUUGUCAUGUUCAGACAAGGGUAGCUCCUGGGAUGCCUGCCCCAUGGUCUGAAGCUCAAGAUGUGGGUCUGGCUGCUCCAAAGGGCUGGCUUGCUCCCUUGAGGGAUAGGGGAGCUGAGGACUUCCAGAACAUGCCUGUGACAAUCAGCACAUGAAUACUUGUUUUCUAGUUUGAGUAUCUUUUCCUUGGGUUUUAUAAUAGAGUCAGACACGUGAAAUGGUGGAAGGCCUCAAAGAUCACCUGAGUCUCAAUGGAGAGUGGCCUGUGGGUUUCUAAAACCACACACGCUGAUUCAGCCCUAAGGAAACAGGGAAUCUCUAAGGGUGGGGACAGGAAUCUCAUUUGAAGAAAACUCUCUAAGUGAUUCUAUUUGCACAGCCAAAGUUGAAAUCCACUGAGGUAGAUGGUCUGACUUCCUAAUUUUAUAAAUGAGACCACUGAGGUCUAGAGAGAUUAAUUUCAGUUCAGAAGCAAAGCCACAGAUUAAAUCAAAACAAAAACAAACCCUAAACAUGGAAACUCAUUCCUCUGCUUGUGUAUUUUGAACCUGGUCAACCAGGUGGUUCUCUGUGAUUCUUUUGCUUCCCCAGAUCCCAGCUGCCUUUGGGGAGAAUGGCAAAAACAAAAACAAACAAACAAACAAACAAACAAAACUGUUAUCCAGCUUCUGUACAUUUAGGGGAAGGAAGAGAGGACAAUUAAAUAGUAUGCAGAAUAGAGAUGUGUCAGUUUCUCCCAUGUUGUAACUGAACUUUACAGCUCUUCUGUGUGGAGCCGUUUCCAGGUUAAGAAAGGGAGACUCAGAUGGGUUAAGUACAUAGGCUAAAGUCACAAGGCUGGCGGGUGACAUGCUCUGGAUUCCUACUCGGAUCUCUCUGACUCAGACACUCAUAUUCUUCCUUCACACAUUUGGCUUAUUUAUACUACUUCCCAACACUGUCACCCAUGAAAAAUGACUUACAGGAUUUUUUAUUUGAUAUUUCUGAAUCACACAAUUCCAAGACACCAAUCAUUUGGGCUCUACUUUAAUUAGAUAAAUGAUUUUAAAAUCAAUCUGGGGGCACCUGGGUGGCUCAGUCAGUUAAGCCUCCAACUUCGGCUCAGGUCAUGAUCUCACUGCAUGAGUUUGAGCCCUGCAUUGGGCUCUGUGCUGACAGCUCAGAGCCUGGAGCCUGCUUUGGAUUCUGUGUCUCCUUCUCUCUCUGUUCCUCUUCUGCCUGCAUUCUGUCUCUCUCUCUCUCUCUCUCAAAAAUAAAGAUUAAAAAAAAUUUUUUUUAAAUCUUUCUAAAAAUCAAUCCAGUGUUUUUCAAAUAGGAAGACUUUACACCAAUCUGAGUGAAAUUAUCAGAACUCUGGUGGGCACAGUACUAAGGCUAUGGUGGUAUUCAAUAAACUUGGUUUUCCUGUAGCAAAAUAGAACUGUCAACAAUUAAGAUAUGAGCACAAUUAAAAGUAAAAACAAAAAAAAAAGAGUAAUUUUUUUCCUACACUGAGUACAGGAAAGAAACAAUAAAGCUUAUUUUCAUUUUCUUUACUCCAGUCUAGUGUGGAAAAGGAUUCCCCCACCUGGCCUUGGACCUUAGAUAAAAAAUAUGCUUGCCUUUUUUCAGAAAAGUGGGGGUGAAACUCUCCCCCUCUUGCUCUCAUGCCAAUUAAAAUUUGGUUCCAUGGGGCUUCUAUCAGUUGGGAGUCAAAGAUCACACAAAGAUGAGAAGUGAAGGCAGUCGACUCAGAGCAGAUUUUUAGAUACCACUUUCCAGGGAUCCCUGGUGACAGAGGAGCUUUUACGUGUGUGUGUGU